GCCCGACCGCGCGGUGUAGACCGAGAAAACGGAAGCUUUGCACUCCGCGAACUGCUCCUGCCUCCCUCCGGGGGCCAGCUUCUCCCUGAGCUUGGCUGAUGUGAGUGCACUGAAGAGCUUUGAACUACUGGACAUGGAACAGAUAAGAGGGAGAGAUCUUUCCAUCAUCUCCCUCCUAGCCCGACUCCCAGGGGCCUCCAGCAAAUCAUCGUGUAUUCUGGAAAUACAAAACCGCUGGAAUAAUCACCGUAUCAAGAUGAAAUGAGAAAGCCAUUCAGGGUGGGCCUGGGCAGGACGUUUCCUGUGAGCUAAACAAGUGUCAAUGCAAUGCAGGCACACCAUAAGCCUCCCAAUAAAUGAGGAUUCAACGAAUAAAGACCUACUCACAUGCAACCAAGUUAUGAUUCUAACUGUUAAGCGUCACUGGAAAGUAACCAGAAACCCCUUGAUUCAAAAUUUCCAGAAAUUAUCAAGUUCAAGAUGAAUAAAGAGAACAUGAAAUCUGUUUAAUGUGCUGAAUCUUAUAUACUAAUUGUUUACAUUUCGAAAAAUCACUUGUCACCAUUGAAUAUCUGCCAAAAAAUAAUACAACAAUUGUAGAAAUGAUGGAGAAGUGUGAGGAGACUGCAAAUCCCCAUCCAUAUUUUCACUUAAUAUUAGCUCUCUCUUCAGUGAAAACGGUCAUCAGGAGACUCUUCAUUGUUCAUUCUUAGUGUGAAUUGGGAGGGAGAAGGCGGAGUUAAAAUAUCUGUAAAAUAGGUUGAAGAGACCGAAAGCUAUCACGCAAGAACAUGGUGUAACUACGGUCUGAAUAAAAGCGACCAUUGUCCUUUUAUUCACUUUUAAAGUUUUUUAUUUAAUUUCGAAUUUAUUUUAUUAUUUACAUAUGCAUAGGUUUUAAGCGCUCAAUCCAAUGCCAUUUGACAAAAGCAUACAGCAAUAUGACCACCACCUCAAUCAAGCUAUGGAACAAUUCAGUUAUCACUUACACUUUCUCAUGCCUCUUUCUAGUCAGCUGCCCAGUUGUUUUGAAUUCUGUCACCAUAACUUAGUUUUGCUUGUUUUAGAGCAUCAUGCACAUGUAAUUAUAUGGGGGACAUACUUCUUUUGCUUGUCACAUUAUUUUUGAGCUAUACAGUAUUCAAGAUUUUGCUCCUAUCAGUAGCUUGUUCCUCUUUAUGGCCGUGUUCACACUCCAUUGUGUGAGUACCUCACAACUGUUUAUCCAUUCACCUGUUGAUGAAUGUUUGGGUUGUUUCUAGCUGUUUACUAUUAUUAAGUAAGCCAUGAACAUUUUAAAAUAUUUUUUGAAGACAGUUUUAUUACUAUUGACUAAAUAUCCAAGAGUAGCACUGCUGGGUCAUUAUAAUACUUGUAUCUUUAACUUGAGGAGAAACUGCCAAUAUAUUCACUUCUGAUGUAGUUGUCAACGGACCUGCAUCUACUCCCUUCAUCAUAAAAAGAUAAAAGGAUAUAAUGGAUACUAUUCAAUGCAAACUAUAAUGUGCGGUUGUUUAGAAUUUUAAUUGUGAUUUUCUUCUGUCUGUAGAUGUAGAAAUUUUCUCUUUGGUGUUUUGACAGAAAGGUCCCCUUCUUAUUCCAUAUCAACAGAUUACCACUUUUAUUUCGGGUUUAGGUAAAUGUGGACUUGUUUUUUGGGAUUUUGUUUGUUAGAGAAAAUAAGGGAAAAAACAUAAAUACAAAUUAUCAAAUUAAGAUGAAUAAUAUAGAAGAGGCUACCUGUUAUUUUGUCAAAUGUAUAUCUCUUUUUACAUUAAUGAAAUUUCUAUGUAAUCAAGCUAUGUAGAUGGCAGUAAUUUUGGUCAUUAAGAUCUGUAGUCAGCAGCAAAUAAG